GAGUUUGAUCCUGGCUCAGGACGAACGCUGGCGGCGCGCCUAACACAUGCAAGUCGAACGAGCGAGAGAGAGCUUGCUUUCUCGAGCGAGUGGCGAACGGGUGAGUAACGCGUGAGGAACCUGCCUCAAAGAGGGGGACAACAGUUGGAAACGACUGCUAAUACCGCAUAAGCCCACGGGUCGGCAUCGACCAGAGGGAAAAGGAGCAAUCCGCUUUGAGAUGGCCUCGCGUCCGAUUAGCUAGUUGGUGAGGUAACGGCCCACCAAGGCGACGAUCGGUAGCCGGACUGAGAGGUUGAACGGCCACAUUGGGACUGAGACACGGCCCAGACUCCUACGGGAGGCAGCAGUGGGGAAUAUUGCACAAUGGGGGAAACCCUGAUGCAGCGACGCCGCGUGAAGGAAGAAGUAUUUCGGUAUGUAAAGCUCUAUCAGCAGGGAAGAUAAUGACGGUACCUGACUAAGAAGCCCCGGCUAACUACGUGCCAGCCGCCGCGGUAAUAC
rnacentral:rRNA from 1 species